rnacentral:lncRNA from 10 species
GGCAGGGAGAAGAUAUAGAUCUCCUUCAGGGACUUGAUCUUCAUGGCCUUGAGCAAGCGGCCCAGCUUGGUGACGGCAUCCACUCCUUAUCCUCGGCCUUGCCUCCGCGAGCUCCGCAGCCUUGGCCCCGGCCGCGUCCACGGCCGCGACUCCGGCCCCCGAUGCCACUGCCGAAGCCUCCGCGGAAGCCACCAUUGUUCCCCAUCCCAGUGCCCCCAGGGCCUCCGGGCCCCCGCGCUGCACCGGCAUCAUCCGCCAUUUGUUUUCUCGGAUAAGAAGCUAAGAAUGGCAGCAGAAUGCUCCGUCACUAUAUGCAGAAACAAGACAACUUGAAGCUAAAUGGAAGCCCUGCAGAGUCAACAGGUCCAGAUUCACAGUGCACGCCCUGAGCUACAGCCCCUCCAAAAGGCAUCUUCCCCCAGAGCCUCAAUGCCAAGCAAGGAGCCGUCAAGAGUCUGCCUUGGUUGUUUUGUUCUUUUUACAAACCGUACAGAUAUACAAUUGAUAACUCAGGAUUUCUAGUCAAUAACCAGAUAGUUAACACCACCUUAUUAAAAAAAAAAAAGCCAGAAACAUCUUUAAAUGCCUUGUCACUCCAAUAGCAAAGCGCACAGAAUGAGAACACAAGAGUGCCUUUUCAUUUUAAAAAUGUUUGGAAAUAUGUACAACUUUGAUAGCAUUUCAGAGUGCACCAGACACCACUGCCGCUUCAUGUAUACCACUGACAAUUUCUAGAGCACUUUGAGAGGCUACAAUA